AUUGAACGCUGGCGGCAGGCCUAACACAUGCAAGUCGAACGAGUGGCGGACGGGUGAGUAAUGUCUGGGAAACUGCCUGGUGGAGGGGGAUAACUACUGGAAACGGUAGCUAAUACCGCAUACCAUCGGAUGUGCCCAGAUGGGAUUAGCUGGUAGGUGGGGUAAAGGCUCACCUAGGCGACGAUCCCUAGCUGGUCUGAGAGGAUGACCGUCCACACUGGAGCUGAGACCCGGUCCAGACUCCUACGGGAGGCAGCAGUGGGGAAUAUUGCACAAUGGGUGCAAGCCUGAGGCGGCCAUGCCGCGUGUAUGAAGAAGGCCAUCGGGUUGUAAAGUACUUUCAGCGGGGAGGCGUUACCCGCAGAAGAAGCACCGGCUAACUCCGUGCCAGCAGCCGCGGUAAUAC
rnacentral:rRNA from 1 species